CCUACGGGAGGCAGCAGUGAGGAAUAUUGGUCAAUGGACGAGAGUCUGAACCAGCCAAGUAGCGUGAAGGAUGACUGCCCUAUGGGUGGUAAGCUUCUUUUAUAUGGGAGUAAAAUGUUCCACGUGUGGGAUUUUGUAUGUCCCAUAUGAAUAAGGAUCGGCUAACUCCGUGCCAGCAGCCGCGGUAAUCCGGAGGUUCCGAGCGUUAUCCGGAUUUAUUGGGUUUAAAGGGAGCGUAGGUGGAUUGUUAAGUCAGUUGUGAAAGUUUGCGGCUUAACCGUAAAAUUGCAGUUGAAACUGGCAGGCUGGAGUACAGUAGAGGUGGGCGGAAUUCGUGGUGUAGCGGUGAAAUGCUUAGAUAUCACGAAGAACUCCGAUUGCGAAGGCAGCUCACUGGACUGUAACUGACACUGAGGCUCGAAAGUGUGGGUAUCAAACAGGAUUAGAUACCCCUGUAGUC
rnacentral:rRNA from 1 species